rnacentral:lncRNA from 1 species
AAUUUGAAGAAGAUCAAACUUACUAAAUAGAAGAUCAAUCCUAAAUUCUACUUAGGUAUUGACUAGCCUCUUAUUCCAAUCUAAAUGUUGAACUUUCAGCACCAAUGUUUCCUUCUUCAACCAUUGAAUUACUUUCAAAAUUCACCUAAAUUGAUAAAAAUCAAGUCUAAUUUCUAGACAAAAUAAAUUUAUUUCAAUCCAAUUGAUAAAUUGUUAAAGAUCUUAGAAAUAUUCACUGACCUUCAAACUCCAAUUUUUGAAAUCUCAACCUACAAGAACCUUCACAUACUUUGAUCUAAUCAUUCAAUCAACCUCAAAAUUUGCACACACACUAACAACU